CACAAAAGGAGGGAGGGAGAGAGCGAGAGACACAACUUCCUCCACCUUCGGGAGCCCUGGGCAGAGUGGGGGGCUUGGAGGGGAGAUUGAGGAACCGGGUGAGAGGGGGUGACCACUGCCGCCCCCCCCCAUCCGGCUCCGCUUGCCAACCCUCUCCUGGUGUGUCUGUCGGUUGCAGUGUCGGAGGUUGGCGCGGGCCCCCGCCCUCCGCGCCCCCCACGGGAAGGAAGCACCCCCCGAACUAAAAAGAGCGAAGCGGAAAGAAGCCCUCAUUCGGCGGCCAGGAGGCGAGCCGAUGCCGAGCUGCACCGCGUCCACCAUG
rnacentral:other from 1 species